GAGAAAACAUACCUCCAGCAAGAGCUUUCCCAUAAUCUAGCAUAACAGUAACAACUGGCUGAGCCGUUGAUCCAGUAUAGAAGCAGUCUUUUUUUUGAAACCAGUAUCUCCUCUGAGACCCAAACCACGGAGUGCUUUAUAAUAUCUGCACACAGAUCCUGACAGGCUGCUGAAAAUGUCUCCAUUUCAUUUGAGCCUCAUGACAUGCUACUUAAACUUGCAAAAAGAUCCUUACUUAUUCAAAUAUUAUGAUGGACAGGAAUGGGGUUACAGUGACCGAACAGGAGAAAGGACUUCUGAAGUUGAGAUGCAGCAACAGAGAAGUGUGAGAUGGAACAGAAGCUAUUGGUAAUAGCAGAAAAAGAUAUGGAGCACCAUAAAGCUAUAGAGCAUGGAAAUACAGAGUUAUAGAAC
rnacentral:lncRNA from 1 species